GACGAACGCUGGCGGCGUGCUUAACACAUGCAAGUCGAACGGAAAGGCCCUGCUUUUGUGGGGUGCUCGAGUGGCGAACGGGUGAGUAACACGUGAGUAACCUGCCCUUGACUUUGGGAUAACUUCAGGAAACUGGGGCUAAUACCGGAUAGGAGCUCCUGCUGCAUGGUGGGGGUUAGAAAGUUUCGGCGGUUGGGGAUGGACUCGCGGCUUAUCAGCUUGUUGGUGGGGUAGUGGCUUACCAAGGCUUUGACGGGUAGCCGGCCUGAGAGGGUGACCGGCCACAUUGGGACUGAGAUACGGACCAGACUCCUAUGGGAGGCAGCAGUGGGGAAUAUUGCACAAUGGGCGGAAGCCUGAUGCAGCAACGCCGCGUGCGGGAUGACGGCCUUCGGGUUGUAAACCGCUUUCGCCUGUGACGAAGCGUGAGUGACGGUAAUGGGUAAAGAAGCACCGGCUAACUACGUG
rnacentral:rRNA from 1 species